rnacentral:tRNA from 1 species
UCCUUCCUUGGCUGUUAUUUGCAUAUAACUAGCUAAUGCUGCUGGGAAUGCCCUUGGUGGAUUCGCACUUCUCU